rnacentral:tRNA from 1 species
CCCCACCAUCAGCACCCAAAGCUGAUAUUCUACUUAAACUACUUCUUG